UCGCUCCCCACGGUAAGCACGGGGAGUUGGCUCAGGUCUCCACCCAGACUUAGUCAAUCUCCCCGUGUGCCCCCCCUACAAAAUAUUUUUGGGGCUGCCUCUCGUGUUUCCGUCAUUGCCAUGCUAGUUCCUCAUCUCGUCGCCGCUCUGCUCUUGCUGCCUCCACCUGUUCCCAUGGGAGGCGAUCCCAUCCGGCCUGGACCUCCUCCCACGUCCAGGAUGUCUUCCCAGGUCCAUUGCUCCUGACCACGCUGCUUGGUCCUUUGGUGGUGGGAUCUUCAGUAACGAUCGUCGUAAAGAGGAGACCAAGGUGCAGCGUGGAAAGUGCUCAUGUUUACUUUUAUUUAACUCGGUACACUAAACAAAAUAAGGUGCUUCUACACCUGCAUUGCUUGCUGUUUGGGGUUUUAGGCUGGGUUUCUGUACAGCACUUUGAGAUAUCAGCUGAUGUAAGAAGGGCUAUAUAAAUAAAUUUGAUUUAAUUUAAUGAAAAGGAAUACGAACAGGCUUACACAGAGCUGUACAAAAACAAGAUCCCACAACUGAAGGUGGGAAAAAGGGCUGCCUAAGUAUGAUUCCCAAUCAGAGACAACGAUAGACAGCUGCCUCUAAUUAGGAACCAUACUCGGCCAAACAAAGAAAUAUGACAUAGAAUGCCCACCCCAUAUCACACCCUGACCUAACCAAACAGAGAAAAUGGCUCUCAGGUCAGGGCGUGACAUAGUUUAAAUACAUAGUUUAAAAUGAGUAUUGCAUUAGGACAAAUAAAGCAUCACUGAAUAGUUUGUCACAGUUUUUAUUGCAUUAAAAAGCUAAGCCAGAAUAAAGAUAAUGAAAUGCUAAAUAUAUUUAUAGGAGCAAUGUGAGUAUGACCCUAAUAUAACCUUCUAAAUGUUCAUUACUUAACUGAAUAUUGUUAGUUGUUUGGUCUCACAGUUGAUAAGAUACAGAGCAGCGUCCCUGGAUGGAGAGCAGUUUUAGGGUUUAAGUCCCGUGCUCAAGGGCACAAUGGCUGGAGGGGGUACCUGGAAUCAUAGACCAACAGUUCCCACAGUUCUGUUUUUAUACCCUGUCCGUGGAUUGAAUCAGCAACCUUCCGGCUACUGAUCAAGCAACCUUCCACCUCUCCGAAAGCCCAAUUUUUGCAGCUUCUGCACCGUCCGUUUAAACGAGAUUAUGCAUCGAAAGUUCGCUUCUGUCGGCACGUCUCUGCUUCUGCAUCUACACACCUUUUUCCAGCAUGACAUUAGCUUACAAAUGAUAUGUGAAGCUUCUAUGCAUGUAGUGUAGGACAUUAUGAAGGCUUUAUUAGAUAUAUCUGGUUUAAAAUGUGACUAUGUAGCUUCAAAGUAUACAUUAAACAUAAAGCUUCAAAGUAUACAUACUGAAUAUGUUCCAGUGUGCAUGUUACAAAAUCUGGAAUAUCUAAGCUAUUCCUACGUUUGCGUCUGUCUAAAAUUUCAGAAUCUGAUAUGAUGGAACGCUGAGAAGAGUCUAUGAUGUUCUUUUUCACUCUCAAUGUCUGAUCUGCACCCUCUGUACUUAUGAAGAUCUCAGUUUCAGAGCUAAAACGUGAAGGCUCCUCCAUGCUUUUCCGACGUUUGCGUCUGUAUAGAAUCUUUGUCGCCUGCUCAAAGUCAGAAAAAUCUUCUGCCUCAAGUUCCACUCCAAAGGACAUAUUUCCGUCACGCACAAUAUCAAUAUUACAAAUCUUUUUGAAUUGAACCAUAUAUAUCUCAAAUACUGACACAGGGUAGUACCGGAUUUCAGUGACACCAGUAGCAAUCUUUUUGACUGACCUGACAGGUUAACAUAGUCACACUUUAAUUCCAGGAUGAUGAAAGAGAAAGAAACAGAGAGAAAGGGACAGAGGGAGGGAGAAAGCAGAGUGGUUGGCGUUAUCCAUCCGGAAGCCUCCACCAGCGGUAACAGGAGGGCAGCGAUGGCACAUAGGUCCUCAGGUGGUCCGUGUGUUCUCCAUCCGCUAUCUUGGCCCCUGCUUUAGCCCUGGCCCCAGCCCUGCAAUGUGAAGAAAGGUUCUCAGUUCAAAAACAUGUUUACUCUCUUAAACAAUCAAUAAUUAGAUUUGCACGGUAUUUGGUAUUUAUGGAUAAUGAAUUUGCUGAUGAUAACGAUAAUGAAUAUAAAGGUAAUGAUAAGGAUUGAUAUAAUAAUCUUGACAAUAGUGCCUUCAGAAAGGAUUCAUACCCCUCGACUUAUUCCACAUUUUGUUGUGUUACAGCCUGAAUUCAAAGUUGAUGAAAUAUUUUUUUUUCUACACACACAACAUCCCAUAAUGCCAAAGUGAAAACAUGUUUUUAGAUUUUUUUUUUACAAUUUUCUUGAAAAGUAAAUACAGAAAUAUAUCAUAUUAACAUAAGUAUUCAACACCCCUGAGUCAACACUUUGUAGAAGCACCUAUGGCAGCGAUUACAGCUUUGAGUCUUUCUGGGUAAGUCUCAAAUGAUUUGUGAAGCUUUGCACAACUGGAUUGUACAAGCUGUCAAGUUGUUUGUUGAUCAUUGCUUGACAGGCAUUUUCUAGUCUUGCUAUAGAUUUUCAAGACGCUUUAAGUCAAAACUAUAACUAUGUCACUGAGGAAUAUUCAAUGUCGUCUUAGUAAGCAACUCCUUUCAUUUUGUAUUAAUUUGAAAAAUAUAAUUCCACUUUGACAUAAAAUCUCAAUUUAAUCAAUUUUAAAUUCAGCCUGUAACACAACAAAAUGUGGAAAAAAGUAACGGUAUGAAAAUAAAGUUUCCACAUUUUGUUGUGUUACAGCCUGAAUGUUACAGCCUGAAUGCCCUGCUUGCAACAGAAUGAAGCCUUGAAAAAUGAAUAACAUUAUUGAUAGUCUUCCUGACAAAAGAGACCAAACAGCAUUCAUUGACAGUUAAAGUAGAGAAACAUGUAUAUAUUUACCCAUUGGGAGGCCGAGGACCACACAUCCAGAAGUGUAUUGUUUUCAUGUUGUUUUAGUACAUGUUGUCGAAAGGAGGAGAUGUGAGACUGUAGGACAGUAUGAAGACAUCAUGAAGACUUUAUUAGACUAGUUGUAUCUCCAAAGUAUACUUAAAGCAUGUAUAUUUUCUAGUGUACAUGUCACAGCUUCACUCAAAAACGUGGUGGAAUAUUUAAUCUAUUCGUACAUUUGAGUCCUUCCAAAAUAUCAGAAUCUGAUUGUAACGUCUGCUUCCAACUCACACCCUCAAACACAUAGAUCCCCUGCAGCUCACUUUCCAGCCCACUUUCCAGCUCACACUCUGAAACACCUAGAUCCCCUGAACGCAGCUCACUCUCCAGAUCCCAAUCAUCUGAAUUCUAAUCACCUGUUCACACACCUGUAUGUCAUUAUCACACUAUUUAGUUCAGUUCUUUGCACCCCAUCACUGUGAGGUAUUGUUUGUUUUGUGACACGUCUUUCAGAGCGCUGGUUUUCCUGUGAUUUACUCCUCCCGUGUAUGAUAGUUUUUGCCUGCCUCACUAACGACGCCUUUUUGCCUAUUCCCUGCCUGUACUUUAGCCUAUCGGAUUUCCUGUUAUCUACCUAUUUGCCUGAUCUCCCGGACUACGUUACUAGCCUUUUCCCUGCUUAUACUGUUGCCUUUGGACCCAUGAGUAUGACCUUCUGCCUGUCCCUGGAUCCCAGCUACUUGACUCCUCCUGUGGUCCUUUACAAUAAACAGCUGCUGCUCCCUGCGCUUGAAACCAGCUCUCUGUCUCCCCUCGUGUUCAUUACACUGAUAGGACAGUGCUGAGAAGUCAUUGUUUUUCACUCUUAAUGGAGCAUUACUAUAGCGUUUCAUAUACAUUAUUUGUAUUCAGGAAAGCAGUGAGUUGCUGCACAACAGCAUUUUCACUCAUAAUCUGCAUCAUAUAUAUAUACCUCGUGUUCUCACUUUCAAAGCUAAUCAAAAACAUGAGCUGGCGCACACCCAAAGAAAAGUAUUUUAUGUAGAGGUGCGGACUAAUGGCGAAUAAACUAAACUGUAAAAAUAGUCACACUAUAUAUAUAUAUAAAUAACUCCCAGUAAUUUAUUUUGUAAAUCACCAACGUUUCAGAAUCGCUGGGCUUUCAGGGUCAUCACUGUGCCUUCUCACUUUCAGAGCUAAAAUAUUCAGGCUCCUCCAUGCGUUUUCAAUGUUUGCGUUUGUAAAUAAUCUUUGUCACCUGCUCAGUCAGAAAAGGGUUCUGCCUCGAGUUUCACCCCAUUAGCCAUAUUUAGGCCUUCGUCACACAUACGUUGUUAGUGCGAUAUAAACAAUUCAAUAACAAAAUAUACAUUGUGCAGUGUAAUAACAUGCAGUCUUCAUAUAAUGAAAUGAAUAAUUUACCUGAAGGAAGCAGGUACGAUAGGAUUACCCUUGGGCUAGUGCUCUUUGAUCGUAAAGAGGUGUAAAUGUUGACUCAAACAAGAAGCUUUUAUAGAAACCUGUUGUCAUGGCUGUACAGCUGUGUUCAUGAUUGGUCUCUGAAUGAGCGUGACUGUACGUGUGUGUUCAUGAUUGGCC
rnacentral:lncRNA from 1 species